rnacentral:rRNA from 1 species
GAUGAACGCUGGCGGCGUGCCUAAUACAUGCAAGUCGAGCGAACAGACGAGGAGCUUGCUCCUCUGACGUUAGCGGCGGACGGGUGAGUAACACGUGGAUAACCUACCUAUAAGACUGGGAUAACUUCGGGAAACCGGAGCUAAUACCGGAUAAUAUAUUGAACCGCAUGGUUCAAUAGUGAAAGACGGUUUUGCUGUCACUUAUAGAUGGAUCCGCGCCGCAUUAGCUAGUUGGUAAGGUAACGGCUUACCAAGGCAACGAUGCGUAGCCGACCUGAGAGGGUGAUCGGCCACACUGGAACUGGGACACGGUCCAGACUCCUACGGGAGGCAGCAGUAGGGAAUCUUCCGCAAUGGGCGAAAGCUUGACGGAGCAAGGCCGCGUGAGUGAUGAAGGUCUUCGGAUCGUAAAACUCUGUUAUUAGGGAAGAACAAAUGUGUAAGUAACUAUGCACGUCUUGACGGUACCUAAUCAGAAAGCCACGGCUAACUACGUG